rnacentral:tRNA from 1 species
GUGGGUGCAAUUGGGUGUGAUGCUCGAAAACCCUUGUAAAUAAAGGCUUUUCGAGCGUCGUUUCCGCUCCUAAGCGGAAGGACGUGGGUUCGAAUCCCGCCAGGA